CAUUGUUUUUUCAAAGGCAACGAAGACAAACUAAAAAUUUGAGUAGCUACUUCUCACCCACCUGUUACUAAUGUACAAGCAUGAACUAUGCUUACGUAUGUAAUCCAUCUGAUGGAGAACAGCGAGUUAACCGGCAAUAAAUUCAUAAAAACAAUCAUGCUUCUGCUGAAAACUCUCAUGACCUUAGCUCCGUCAGGUACUAUAUUAAAUGCUUGUUAGGAAAGAGACCUUAAACGAAUGUCUACGUUUCAUGAUUAUUGGCCCCUGUUCUUCUUGAUUCUCCCUUCUCAUCUGAUAGAGAAAAGGAGUUCAUGCUAUAUAGGUAAGACGGUUUAAGGGCUGAAUCUGCCAUCUUUAACUCUAAUCCAAGAUUUGGACCGAAAUCUAUCAUUCAGUUUGCCAGAGCACCAUCUAAGAAUAAGGGAAGAAAUGGCAAUUCCAUCCACUUUCAUGGAAGUCUACCUCACACUCAGAGCUGCAGAGCCAGAUCUGGCUGUUGAGAAUUAACCAGAACGCCUGUUUCACUGGAGACCCUGGAGACUGGAAUCCGAUAGUCAGGAGGAAGCGCAUCCAGGUUCUGCCUGUAGACACCAUUUUUUGUAAAUUUAAUUUCUAUUCUUAUUCUCACUUUCAUUUUUAUUUUUGAUUACAUAGCUUUUAAAUUGGCCUUCAAGACCCAAAGGCCAGAAGGUUCAUAUCAGAAUAAAUAAAACAAAAUAUAUAAUAAAUAUUUUUUUCUGAAAAAAGAGAGAAAAAAUGGUGAUUUAUUGCCAUGCUUGGCAUGACAAUCGAGGCAGUUGCUGUGGUGGUCAACUAAGGUUGGACUGCCAUGGCAAUCAGCCUUAUUUCUCCUCAAGGUGAAUUGGCGUCUCUCUCUCCCAGGAUAUGUCAAAUUUAGCUAAUUUUUCUUUUUCAAAAUUUACCACUUUUCCCUUUUAUUUAGUGAAAGACUCAAGUCAAUUUUGAAAAUCAAAGAUUUAACAGCAAAUCACCACACCAAACCUAAAGACCUUACUGAUACGACCACCAAAGUGCUGCAAAUGGUAACAAGAAGAUGAGAGGGAUUUUCAAAAAUCCUUGAUAAAAGCAAAGAUAACAAAACAGAAAGGGUAGGAAUUAAAAAAAAAAAAGAGAAGAACCCUGUAAAAGAAAAACCUAAGAAGAUAAACCCUAGAUCUAGCAGCAGAGAAGCCACAAGAAACACAAAAUGUAUACA